rnacentral:rRNA from 1 species
GAUGAACGCUGGCGGCGUGCUUAACACAUGCAAGUCGAACGAAGCACUUUAUUUGAUUUCCUUCGGGACUGAUUAUUUUGUGACUGAGUGGCGGACGGGUGAGUAACGCGUGGGUAACCUGCCUUGUACAGGGGGAUAAUAGUUGGAAACGGCUGCUAAUACCGCAUAAGCGCACAGCAUCGCAUGAUGCAGUGUGAAAAACUCCGGUGGUAUAAGAUGGACCCGAGUUGGAUUAGCUAGUGGGUGAGGUAACGGCCCACCAAGGCGACGAUCCAUAGCCGACCUGAGAGGGUGACCGGCCACAUUGGGACUGAGCCACGGCCCAAACUCCUACGGGAGGCAGCAGUGGGGAAUAUUGCACAAUGGGCGAAAGCCUGAUGCAGCGACGCCGCGUGAGCGAAGAAGUAUUUCGGUAUGUAAAGCUCUAUAAGCAGGGAAGAUAAUGACGGUACCUGAAUAAGAAGCACCGGCUAAAUACGUG